rnacentral:rRNA from 1 species
AUUGAACGCUGGCGGCAUGCCUAACACAUGCAAGUCGAGCGAGCGGCGGACGGGGGAGUAAUGGAUGGGGACUGCCCGAUAGAGGGGGAUAACUACUGGAAACGGUGGCUAAUACCGCAUACUAGCGGCUAACCCAUAUGGGAUGAGCUAGUAGGUGGGGGAAAGGCUCACCUAGGCGACGCUCUCUAGCUGGUCUGAGAGGAUGAUAAGCCAAACUGGGACUGAGACACGGCCCAGACUCCUCCGGAGGCAGCAGUGGGGAAUAUUGCACAAUGGGCGCAAGCCGGAUGCAGCCAUGCCGCGUGUAUGAAGAAGGUCUUAGGGUUGUAAAGUACUUUCAGCGGGGAGGCGUUACCCGCAGAAGAAGCACCGGCUAACUCCGUGCCAGCAGCCGCGGUAAUUC